rnacentral:misc_RNA from 1 species
GGAACAAUGGCUUUGUCUUCCUCAGAUGUAGCUUUUACUGAUACCGAAUUCCCAACAAUCUGCUCCAUUUGCUUGAACCAUGGCCAAUGACUAAUCGUUAAGCCGCCAUUGCUCAUCCGAUGCCUCUCCAAUUUAUACCUCUUCUUCAAAUUAUCAACUUUGUUCUUACACUGUUCUACACUCUUCGAUUGCUUCUCGCAUCUUUCACUCACCAUCACCGCGACUUCUUCCCAAUCUCUCCCUCUAAGAUUCCCUCUAUUCAAUUGCACAAAUUUCUCCAUAUACGCCUCCAAUAAACACGCUAUCGCUGUGUCACUCCAUUCUUCUCUAUCCUUCCGGUACUCUCCGCUGCCACUACCGGAGGAUGAGCUGAUCCUCGAUCUCUUAUAACUAUACGGUGUCCCGUUAUCACUGAUAUCUUCUCGAUCGGCUCGUUUCUCGUUUGAUGAUUUACCUCUCGAUCUAUUAACAUUAGUGUCAUUCUCAAACGGAAUUGAAUCGUUCUCGUAGGGGUUCACUCCCAUAUGAUACGACUGUGCGUUAUUGUCGCUGUAUCCAUCACCGUCGUCUUCAUCGCCGGAAAUGUUCUUCGGACUACCGGCGGAGAUCGGCGGGGGAUGGAUUUGCACAGGCUUGUACCGGACGGAGGAGAAAGGUUGGUGGUGGUAAUUAGGGUUUGCCGUGGUGGUGGUGGGAGUGACGGCGACGGCGGCGUUAUCGUCACCGAGGAGAGAGAAAUCGUCAUCACAAGAAGCCAUGGACGACGUACGUUAGGGCUUGGGAAACGGAGAGAAUAGACGACGUGAAAGGUAACGUUUGUGAGGUUCACCGUUUGGAACCGUUACAAAUGUUGUGAGUCCGUUAGGUAAAGUGAAUUAUUACAACUUCUA